GAACUUGAUGUACAAUUUAUUUAUAAUAAAAAGGGAAGCUUCAUGAUAUGCAUGUUAAUACUAACAAAAAUGCUAACAAAGUGGGAAUAUUAAUGUUCAUAGACUUUGUUUAAUGAUUUCAUGGAGGGGCUAUUGUAACUUUUACUGUCAUUUUCUUUCUGUUUCAAUGUUUAAAGGGAAACUCACACAUGAUAACAGCUCAGUAUUAUGGAUGGAUAUAAGCUCAUUGAGUCAAUCCUUGAGAGAUGGAGAGUGAAGUAACUUCCAGUUCCCAUUUGGAACUCUCAGAGCUAGGAUAAAAACUCCUUGUCAUGAAUUCACAGGAUGAGAAAAUCUAGCAUCCUCCCAUGUUCUGCCCAUUUGCCCGCCUUCAGGUUUGACUUUUGAACUUGCCAAAAGGGAGAAAAGUCUGGACAAGUCCCCUUUUCACCUUUUCUCAUUACCUUGGUUUGGUUCCAGUUUGUACGUGGUACAGACUUCCAAGGAAGUGAUGGUCAUGGAGAGGAGAUCAUAUUUGCCAUGAAAAUGUUUUUGUUAUUCAGGAUUCAGGGAAAUCAUUCACAGCCUGGUUCCCAUGCUUUCUCUAGGGGCAAUAUGGAGCUUAGAAACAAUUAUCUAGGUCAUGAAGUGAGGAUGGAAGUUAGGUGCUAUCCACAGGACUGAGUCAAAAUGCUCCGUGUGUGUGUGUGUGUGUGUGUGUCUGUGUGUGUGUUUUGAGACAGAGUCUCACACUGUCGCCCAGGCUGGAGUGCAGUGGUGUGAUCUCUGCUCACUGCAACCUCCGCCUCCUGGGUUCAAGUGAUUCUCCUGCCUCAGCCUCCUGAGUAGCUGGGAUUACAGGUGCCCACCACCAUGCCUGGCUAAUUUUUUGUAUUUUUAGUAGAGACGGGGUUUCACUAUGUUGGUCAGGCUGGUCUUGAACUCCUGACCUUGUGACCCGCCUGCCUUGGCCUCCCAAAGGUCUGGGAUUACAGGUGUGAGCCACAGUGCCCAGCCCUCUUUGUGUUUUAAAGUGCCUGUGGCUUCUUCUUGCCUUAGUUUUGCUCUCCAAUUUAUUGUGUUUCUUGUUCCCCCAUCCUUUGCAUUAUACUAACUUUGCAUCCAAGAGAGGAGGCCUGAAUUGGUGUAAUAAGACUGAUACCUUUCUCCUAAAGAUGAUGCCCUGGUGAGCUUUGCAGCAUGUCAAACAGGGUCUGAAAUUAAUCCUCAUUGAAAGGGAGUUUGGGAGGUGGAGGGUCAUCUUCCUAUGGAUUCCAGAAGGAAAAAAGAUGAACAAAGGCAUAGAAAACCUAUUAAACAAAAUAAUAGCUAAAAACUUCUUAAGUCUUGCAAGAGAUAUAGACAUCCAGGUACAUGAAGGUCAAACAUUUCCAAAUAGAUUCAACCCAAAACGGUCAAUUCCAAGGCUCAUUAUAUUCAAACUAUCAAAUUCAAAGACAAAGAGGGAAUCUAAAAACAGCAAGAGAAAAGCAUAAAGUCACAUAUAAGAGCAUUCCCGCAAAUGAACAGGGACAUUACAAUUGAUACCAUAGAAAUAGAAGAGGUCAUUAAAGACUAUUAUGAGCAACUAUAUGCCAAUAAAUUGGAAAGCCUAAUGGAAAUGGAAAAAUUUCUGGACACAUACAACCACCAAGAUUGAACCAAGAAGUAGUAGAAAAUCUGGACAGACCAAUUACGAGCUACAAGAUUGAAUCACUAAUAAAAAGUGUCCCAUCAAAGAAAAGCCAAGGACCUGAUGGCUUUAUUGCUGAAUUAUGCCAGAUAUUUAAGAAAGAACUAAUACCAAUUCUUCUCAAACUUUUCCAGAAAAUUGAAGUGGAAGAAAUUCUUUUAUACUCAUUCUAUGAUGACGUUACCCUCAUACCAAAACAUGAAAAGGGCACAACAAAAAAAGAAAACCAUAGGCCAGUAUUUCUGAUGAACAGAGAUGCAAAAUUCCUCAAAAUAAAUACUAGCAAACAGAAUUCAACAAUACAUUAAAAAUAUCAUUCACCAUAAUCAAUUGGGAUUUAUUGCAGGGAUGGUUUGACAUAUGCAAACCAAUCAACAUGAUACAUAACACUUACAAAAUGAUGGACAAAAAGAAAAUGACAGUCUCAAUAGACACAGAAAAAGCAUUUGAUAAAAUUUAAUAUCCUUUCAUGAUAAAAAUCUUCAACAAACUAGAUAUGAAAGAAGCAUACAUGAAUGCAAUAAAGACUACAUAUAACAAACCCACAGGUAGCAUUAUGCUGAAUAGGGAAAAGCUGAA
rnacentral:lncRNA from 10 species